rnacentral:rRNA from 1 species
GGAGGGUGCAAGCGUUGUUCGGAAUUAUUGGGCGUAAAGAGCGUGUAGGCGGUCCGGUAAGUCAGAUGUGAAAGCCCUGGGCUCAACCCAGGAAGUGCAUUUGAAACUACCAGACUUGAGUACGGGAGAGGAGGGGGGAAUUCCCGGUGUAGAGGUGAAAUUCGUAGAUAUCGGGAGGAAUACCAGUGGCGAAGGCGCCCCUCUGGACCGAUACUGACGCUGAGACGCGAAAGCGUGGGGAGCAAACAGGAUUAGAUACCCUGGGUAGUCCACGCCGUAAACGAUGAGCACUAGGUGUAGCGGGUAUUGACCCCCCUGCUGUGCCGUAGCUAACGCAUUAAGUGCUCCGCCUGGGGGACUACGGUCGCAAGACUA